CGCAGCGAUCUAACUUGCGCAGGGUGGGCAAUGCGCACCCUAUGCAUAAGACAUGAUGAUACGACGAUACGAAUCAUUAUUAGCUGGUUACCAAAUGUCCGUCUCCGUUACUCUACGCGCCUGCGCACGUUACCAAACGGUCAUCGUUAGUUGAGUUGGAGGCUAGGCGACGUUUUGCUCGACAAGUGAGGGGGUAAAGUUAGCCAAUGGAGAGCUUCGACGGCCAAGGGAAUGAGUUGUGCGACGAGAUCCUUGACGAGCAAGAGGGUGGAGUUGGCUGAUAGUGGGUUCGAUGGGCGAAGGGUGCAACCGCCGACAAUGAGCUUCGACAAGCUCCUCUCUCUCUCUUCUAUUCUUUCUUCUUCUUUUUUCUCUAUUCGACAAUGAAUUAGAAAUUCUGAUUGUGAUGUGUUUUUUUUUAGUUUGGAUGAACAUGAAAAAAUAUGUUUUUAGAUCUGCAUAUUAGAGACUGUGUUUUUAAAUAUGAUUUUGUUCCGUGUUAUAGAAAAUGGUGGUGGUUGCUUUUUCUAUUUA